rnacentral:lncRNA from 1 species
AAGCAUCCUUUUGUUUCCGCUUGCUGAGUGUUUUCAACAUGAGAUGGGAGAAGCUCAAAUGAGCUUUUCACUUCAUGAUUGCCCCCCGGUUUGCAUCUCUGGUUUAGUCAGCUAGGGAGAUUCUUCAAUGUGCCAUUUAAUAUCCAGAGCAACAGUGUCAGUGAUGGAGGUUCAGGUGCCAUAUUCUUUAGAGAUUGGCCAGUGUAUUUAUAUGCUCCACCUUCUCCUGUUCUGUGUCAUCCUUUUACUUAAUGCUUCCGUAAUCUGCUAUUGAAGCUUUGCUUGCAUGUUCUGCUUAUCAGUAAGGAAAGGUCAACCUGAUCCGAUUAAAGGAAGCCAUCUUCUUGAAAAGGCAUGCAUGCACUUUAUAGGAUUUCUUCUUUCAAGCCCUGGCAAUCAUCAGUUAUCGGGUAG